rnacentral:ncRNA from 1 species
GAGGUAGAGGCGCGGAGGCCAUUAGUACCUGGUGGGAGAAGGGCAUCGGUGAACACCGGGGAAAGGGGUCUUUGCCGAAGUCCUGUUACCGCCACGGUAACAGGGCUGGGGUUGUACCGAAGAGGUCCAACACUGUCGCCGGGGUUACCCCUGACUCCGGUGGAGUGCUAUCU